GAUGAACGCUGGCGGCGUGCCUAAUACAUGCAAGUCGAGCGAACGGACGAGAAGCUUGCUUCUCUGAUGUUAGCGGCGGACGGGUGAGUAACACGUGGAUAACCUACCUAUAAGACUGGGAUAACUUCGGGAAACCGGAGCUAAUACCGGAUAAUAUUUUGAACCGCAUGGUUCAAAAGUGAAAGACGGUCUUGCUGUCACUUAUAGAUGGAUCCGCGCUGCAUUAGCUAGUUGGUAAGGUAACGGCUUACCAAGGCAACGAUGCAUAGCCGACCUGAGAGGGUGAUCGGCCACACUGGAACUGAGACACGGCCCAGACUCCUACGGGAGGCAGCAGUAGGGAAUCGUCCGCAAUGGGCGAAAGCCUGACGGAGCAACGCCGCGUGAGUGAUGAAGGUCUGCGGAUCGUAAAACGCUGUUAUUAGGGAAGAACAUAUGUGUAAGUAACUGUGCACAUCUUGACGGUACCGAAUCAGAAAGCCACGGCUAACUACGU
rnacentral:rRNA from 1 species